rnacentral:rRNA from 1 species
UUUGCCCCCAAAGGUUUGGGUUACCCCCGGGCUACAAUGGCCGAAACAUUGGGUUCCCUCCCCGAAAAGGAGAGGUAAUUCCCAAAACUCGGUCGUAAUUCGGAUUGGGGGUUGAAACUCCCCCCCAUGAAGCUGGAUUCCGUAUUAAUCCCUUUUCAAAAGAGGGGGGGGAAUACCUCCCUGCCCCUUGCAAAAA